AAUCAAGGGUCCGUAACUAAGUACAAAAAAAUGCACCAGUGACGAUGAAUGUUGUAUGAUAUAACCUAUAUCUACCUAUUUCGGUACUACUUUCUGCAUAUAGAGUGCAAACAAUAUAAGCGUGAAACUUUAGUAACACUUCUAGAAUGACUGCAUGAAGAGAUUCAUCUUUACACUUGAUCGAUCGCGUUGUCAAUCAUCCAUUUGAAUCCACCUUAACAGCCAUCAGUAUUUAAGCGGCUUUUCGGAGUUCUCUCAGCAAUUUGUGCCUAACCAUCUUGGAACCAAGUUUGUUAAAAGUUCAUCUCAAGUCAACGAUAAAGGAUAACAAUGAAAACCCUUCUCGUGUUUUUGAUCUUGGCUGUGAUUGCAGUGAACGCAUAUCGUAUUCAAGACGACAUGGCCCCGGAAUUGGACCGAAAAGAGUACCUAUACGACGAGAUGGCUCCGGAAUUAGAGCGGCGCGCAUGCAAAAAGAAAUAUCAAAAAUGUACAAGAGACAGCCAGUGCUGUGACCAGAAAGAUUGGAGUGGCAGAAAAUUGCGAUGUCUUACACAAUGUGACGAAGGAGGAUGUCUGAAAUACAAGCAAUGUCUGUUCUAUUCUGGAAUACAGAAAAAAUAAUACCAAUAGUGAAAUACGCCGAAUCGAAAUAUGGCAACCAGUUUGAAUAACUGAUAAUAGUGAGUGUGAAACAAUUAGCAUUUGAAGCAAGGAAAGUUCUGAAAUAAAUUUUCUCAAAUUA